UUAUGACGUCACUCGUGAGCCACUACAAACAGUUCCUGAUGCACCCAUCUGCACUGUAAACAGAAAAUUGUAUUUGGCUGUAUUGUUUUUGAGUUGCUGCUUAAGUGGAAUUGUACACAGGCAGUCAAAAGGAAGCAGUGCAGUUUGGCUGGAAUUAUUCAAUAUACACCACUUUUAUUACAAGUGUUGUUGAGCAAUCUCUCAUCAUGGAGUGGCUGUUUGGUCGCAAGAAGACACCAGAAGAAAUGCUACGCCAAAAUCAGAGAGCUCUGAACAAAGCCAUGCGGGACCUUGAUCGUGAACGCCAAAAAAUGGAGCAGCAGGAAAAGAAAGUUAUUGCAGAUAUUAAAAAAAUGGCAAAGCAAGGGCAGAUGGAUGCAGUAAAGAUAAUGGCCAAAGACCUGGUUCGCACUCGUCGCUAUGUAAAGAAGUUCAUUGCCCUUCGAGCAAAUAUUCAGGCAGUAUCACUGAAGAUCCAGACCCUUAAAGCUAAUAAUACGAUGGCCCAGGCUAUGAAGGGUGUCACGAAAGCUAUGGCAACAAUGAACAGACAGCUCAAGCUACCACAGAUUCAGAAGAUUAUGAUGGAGUUUGAAAAGCAGUCUGAGAUGAUGGACAUGAAGGAAGAAAUGAUGAGUGAUGCCAUUGAUGAUGCAUUGGGCGAUGAGGAUGAUGAGGAGGAAAGUGAUGCCAUCGUUGCUCAGGUGCUGGAUGAAUUAGGACUUCAGAUGGCUGAUGAGUUGUCAGGUUUGCCAGGAACUGGAUCAUCACUGUCUGCAAAAGCAGGUCCUGCCAAAGCUCCACAGGCAGCUGCUGUUGGAGAUGCUGAUGCUGAUCUUGAAGCUCGAUUGGACAAUUUAAGGCGGCAGUGAUAACAUUUGCCAGUCCUUUACAACAUUUUCCUUUGUCCAUUUUUUUAAAAAUAUGUCUGUUUUUGGAAAAUGCAGACAUGCUGUUUGAGAUUAUGGGGCUAUUACCAUGAAUGGUAAUUAACUUUUAUAUAACUGUGUUUAUAAACUUUCAGCCACUUUUAUAUAACUUAAGCAGUAUGGUACAUUUUGAUAAUUUCCUUUUGGAUUGAAGUUUAGGAGAAACUGUAAUACAUGUAUGAUGUUCAAAUUGUUUGAGCUGCUUUAGUUCUGUGCCUCAUGCUUGUAAAUAGUCAACAAAUAGUGUGAAAGACUCAUUUACAUUUAACAAAAGUAGCAAUAUUUAAGUGACAAUUUUGGUCUUUUGUGAAUUCUUUCUCAAAUCAUUUGACUGUAACUGUAAAUAUUUGUAUAUGCCAUAAACAGAAUUUAAAUUUUUUUUUUUUCUUUUGGGGGGGAUUGAAUUUGGGGUGUAUGGGGAAACAUGAAUGACCUGCUAUGACCAAUAGCUCUCUUAGUAGGGAGUAUAUAAUAUCCUUGUUCCUUGAAAUAAGCUUUUCACAGAUAAGCUCUACUAGUGAUCAGUCCGCCACCCCACCCAUCUCCUCUUGCAGAAAAAAAAAACCUCUGAGAAACUUGCAGACUAACCGACAAGAGGUUACAAGUUUAAUGCUUUCGUUAGCUUGUUUUUAUGUAAACUGCACUGAGAUAAACUCCCAUGCUUUCAUCUCGCCAUAAAAAUACAAAUCACUGUUGUAUACCUGGUGGGUUUUUUUCACUACUCUUCUCUGCUACUUUUGAAGUAGCUUAAUAACCUUGUUUCCCACCACAGAAUGUGGUCUGAAUAGGACAUUAAUAAUAACCAUUUUAGAAAACUAAAGAUGUGUAUAGAUCAUGUAAUAUUUAUAUAUGUGUGUGUUAAGGUGGGCCAUUCUCAGAUCGCUUCAUAAAACUGACAUUAAACAAAUGAGCAUUGCUUUACUUUUUUUUAUGGUGGGAAUAAUGGUAUUUGGGUAUUAUCCAUGGCCAUAUACAGAAUGGACUACUAGCUGAUGAAUUGUCAUGCAAACUCCAAGAAUGGGUCUUUUGCAUAUGAGCUUUAACAUAAAAAUGGAAAGCACAUAGUGUAAACUCUUGUGUUGAUGGAAAUGCAACAUCUCAUACUUGUACGCUCUGUUUUUGGUUAAUUGGCUCUAAGCCAGGGGGAGUGGAGGCUGAAGACUUGCUGGAAAAGGGAGAAAAACCCCCAAAGCUAAGUAACAAACAUACUGGCAUAUAAAAUUUAAAAAAUUUGGCACUCUCUAUUCCCCAUCUAACCGGGUCCGAUGGCGGGGUGUGGUUGCGGCCCUAUGCUCCACGGGGUGAAUAGGAACAAGAAGAGAAGAAGAAUUCCCCAUCUGCUGUGGUUCUGGACAUUGUUUUUUUUUUAAGAGCUUACCGAGACUGGUCAGCUUAAGACUUGAGGAGAGGCUAAACUUUCCAAAAAACUGCCAGCAAUCCAGUUUGUGUUGGGUCCAUGGUAUGAAUCUAAAGUCUACCUUUUGGGUUGUCUGUUUUUGUGAGUGGCAGAGGAAAUAACUAGAAAAUAAGGUGAUAGAAAAUAUUAAUUAAGGACAAAAUCUAUACUGGGAAGAUCAGGAAUAGUAGAAAAAUGCACAUCUUAAAUGAACAUCCCGUGAGUGGGAACUUUGUUAUAGCCAUGUACAUUGUAUGCUUUCACAAUGCAAAAUAAUAUCCAUCAGUCCCCACGUGUAUGUGGGAUCAUAAAAAUAUGUAUGUUGCAAAUGUGCAGAUUCUUCCAUUGCCAAUGAAUAAAAAUCACAAUUUCAUAUUUGUUAAAGCUGUGCUUAUAUUUCAUGUUUCUGCUACCAGACUUUUGUCUUGGAUAGCAAAAUUCUGUAAGAUGUUGGCAGUAAAAGAAAUGUAUAAAUGUUCUGUCACUGUACAUGUUUAUUGUACAUCUUUUUUACCUUGAGUUGUACAAGUCAUGUGCAGCUUAUGAGCAUGUAAAAAGCCUACGUGCUUAUGCAAGCACUACAUACUGUGUUGUAUAUAACAUAAACAAUAAAUUUUAAAUGUUUA
rnacentral:misc_RNA from 1 species